rnacentral:rRNA from 1 species
GAUGAACGCUGGCGGCGUGCCUAAUACAUGCAAGUCGAGCGAACAGACGAGGAGCUUGCUCCUUCGACGUUAGCGGCGGACGUGUGUGUAACACGUGUAUAACCUACCUAUAAGACUGGUAUAACUUCGGGAAACCGGAUCUAAUACCGGAUAAUCUUUUGCACCGCAUUGUUCGAUAGUGAAAUACGGCUGUGCUGUCACUUAUAGAGGGACCUGGGCCGUAUUAGCUAGUUGGUAAGGUAACGGCUUACCAAGGCAACGAUGCGUAGCCGACCUGAGAGGGUGAUCGGCAACACUGGAACGGAACCACGGUCAAGCCUCCUACGGGAGGCAGCAGUAGGGAAUCGGCCGCCACGGUCGAAAGCCUGACGGAGCAACGCCGAGUGAGAGAUGAAGGUCUUAGGAUCGUAAAACUCUGUUAUUAGUGAAGAACAAAUGUGUAAGUAACUGUGCACGGCUUGACGGUAACUAAUAAGAAAGCACCGGCUAACUACGUG